rfam:Pseudomonas sp. EGD-AK9 Contig_327, whole genome shotgun sequence.
GGUCAAGUGAAGAAGCGCAUACGGUGGAUGCCUUGGCAGUCAGAGGCGAUGAAAGACGUGGUAGCCUGCGAAAAGCUUCGGGGAGUCGGCAAACAGACUUUGAUCCGGAGAUCUCUGAAUGGGGGAACCCACCCAGCAUAAGCUGGGUAUCACACACUGAAUACAUAGGUGUGUGAGGCGAACCAGGGGAACUGAAACAUCUAAGUACCCUGAGGAAAAGAAAUCAACCGAGAUUCCCUAAGUAGUGGCGAGCGAACGGGGACUAGCCCUUAAGUUGAUUUGAGAGUAGCGGAACGCUCUGGAAAGUGCGGCCAUAGUGGGUGAUAGCCCUGUACGCGAAACUCUCUUGUCAAUGAAAUCGAGUAGGACGGGGCACGAGAAACCUUGUCUGAACAUGGGGGGACCAUCCUCCAAGGCUAAAUACUACUGACUGACCGAUAGUGAACCAGUACCGUGAGGGAAAGGCGAAAAGAACCCCGGAGAGGGGAGUGAAAUAGAACCUGAAACCGUAUGCGUACAAGCAGUGGGAGCGGACUUUGUUCCGUGACUGCGUACCUUUUGUAUAAUGGGUCAGCGACUUAUAUUCAGUGGCGAGCUUAACCGAAUAGGGGAGGCGUAGCGAAAGCGAGUCUUAAUAGGGCGCUUUAGUCGCUGGGUAUAGACCCGAAACCGGGCGAUCUAUCCAUGGGCAGGUUGAAGGUUAGGUAACACUGACUGGAGGACCGAACCGACUACCGUUGAAAAGUUAGCGGAUGACCUGUGGAUCGGAGUGAAAGGCUAAUCAAGCUCGGAGAUAGCUGGUUCUCCUCGAAAGCUAUUUAGGUAGCGCCUCGUGUAUCACUGCUGGGGGUAGAGCACUGUUUCGGCUAGGGGGUCAUCCCGACUUACCAAACCGAUGCAAACUCCGAAUACCGGCAAGUGUCAGCACGGGAGACACACGGCGGGUGCUAACGUCCGUCGUGAAAAGGGAAACAACCCAGACCGUCAGCUAAGGUCCCAAAGUUAUGGUUAAGUGGGAAACGAUGUGGGAAGGCUUAGACAGCUAGGAGGUUGGCUUAGAAGCAGCCACCCUUUAAAGAAAGCGUAAUAGCUCACUAGUCGAGUCGGCCUGCGCGGAAGAUGUAACGGGGCUCAAACCAUACACCGAAGCUACGGGUUCAUCUUAGGAUGAGCGGUAGAGGAGCGUUCUGUAAGCCUGUGAAGGUGAGUUGAGAAGCUUGCUGGAGGUAUCAGAAGUGCGAAUGCUGACAUGAGUAACGACAAUGCGAGUGAAAAACUCGCACGCCGAAAGACCAAGGUUUCCUGCGCAACGUUAAUCGACGCAGGGUUAGUCGGCCCCUAAGGCGAGGCAGAAAUGCGUAGUCGAUGGGAAACGGGUUAAUAUUCCCGUACUUCUAGUUACUGCGAUGGAGGGACGGAGAAGGCUAGGCCAGCACGGCGUUGGUUGUCCGUGUUUAAGGUGGUAGGCUGGUUUCUUAGGUAAAUCCGGGAGAUCAAGGCCGAGAGCUGAUGACGAGCGUUCUUUUAGAAUGCGAAGUGGUUGAUGCCAUGCUUCCAGGAAAAGCUUCUAAGCUUCAGGUAACUAGGAACCGUACCCCAAACCGACACAGGUGGUUAGGUAGAGAAUACCAAGGCGCUUGAGAGAACUCGGGUGAAGGAACUAGGCAAAAUGGCACCGUAACUUCGGGAGAAGGUGCGCCGGUGAGGGUGAAGCAUUUACUGCGUAAGCCCAUGCCGGUCGAAGAUACCAGGCCGCUGCGACUGUUUAUUAAAAACACAGCACUCUGCAAACACGAAAGUGGACGUAUAGGGUGUGACGCCUGCCCGGUGCCGGAAGGUUAAUUGAUGGGGUUAGCGCAAGCGAAGCUCUUGAUCGAAGCCCCGGUAAACGGCGGCCGUAACUAUAACGGUCCUAAGGUAGCGAAAUUCCUUGUCGGGUAAGUUCCGACCUGCACGAAUGGCGUAACGAUGGCGGCGCUGUCUCCACCCGAGACUCAGUGAAAUUGAAAUCGCUGUGAAGAUGCAGUGUAUCCGCGGCUAGACGGAAAGACCCCGUGAACCUUUACUAUAGCUUUGCACUGGACUUUG